AGUUUGAUCCUGGCUCUCACUCAAGUCCGAACAAUGGAUCCAGCAGAGUUUGAUCAGGGGCGAACGGGUGAGUAACACGUGGGUAACCUGCCCAUCAGAAGGGGAUAACACUUGGAAACAGGUGCUAAUACCGUAUAACAAUCAAAACCGCAUGGUUUUGAUUUGAAAGGCGCUUUCGGGUGUCGCUGAUGGAUGGACCCGCGGUGCAUUAGCUAGUUGGUGAGGUAACGGCUCACCAAGGCCACGAUGCAUAGCCGACCUGAGAGGGUGAUCGGCCACAUUGGGACUGAGACACGGCCCAAACUCCUACGGGAGGCAGCAGUAGGGAAUCUUCGGCAAUGGACGAAAGUCUGACCGAGCAACGCCGCGUGAGUGAAGAAGGUUUUCGGAUCGUAAAACUCUGUUGUUAGAGAAGAACAAGGAUGAGAGUAACUGUUCAUCCCUUGACGGUAUCUAACCAGAAAGCCACGGCUAACUACGUGCCAGCAGCCGCGGUAAUACGUAGGUGGCAAGCGUUGUCCGGAUUUAUUGGGCGUAAAGCGAGCGCAGGCGGUUUCUUAAGUCUGAUGUGAAAGCCCCCGGCUCAACCGGGGAGGGUCAUUGGAAACUGGGAGACUUGAGUGCAGAAGAGGAGAGUGGAAUUCCAUGUGUAGCGGUGAAAUGCGUAGAUAUAUGGAGGAACACCAGUGGCGAAGGCGGCUCUCUGGUCUGUAACUGACGCUGAGGCUCGAAAGCGUGGGGAGCAAACAGGAUUAGAUACCCUGG
rnacentral:rRNA from 1 species